AAAGGUUCGCAGCAUAGUCUCGGAGCAGGUAAUGUUCCUUCUGGUAGGUAACACUUAUCGAAGCCUUUGUGGCCCUUCAAAGGGUCUGCAUACCGCGACUAUAAACAAUGGUUGCAGUGGCCUAAGAGUCUCCCGACUUUUAGGUAUGCAAGUCAGUAAAUAAUUUGCUGGCGACACCUUCGAAUUGCGGGGAUACCCUAAAGCCAAAGUCUACCAACCUAUGCGAGGAAACUCAGCUAGGGGCUCAUGUUAACAGCAUGAGGGAAGGUAAAAUAUSACAUUGGGGAUACGAUUUUCUUUAGAAAGGAAAUGGGCAAUCCUGCAGCCAACCCCUAACGCGAUCACCUUUUUAGGUGAGCUAUGGGACAGGUUGCACAGACUAAGUGGAGGUGGGUAGAUUUUGAAUAAAUCUGCUUAAGAUAUAGUCGGGCUCCUUGGGAAACCUUGGGGGUAAGUUUACUACUUAAUAAAAAACCGUUCCGUAGGUGAACCUGCGGAAGGAUCAUUACUGAGUUCUGGGUCUCUAAGGCCCUUACUCCCACCCUUUGUGUAUUCAAAAUUUCUAUUUUAGUUGCUUUGGUGGGUUCUUUUCUAAACCCUCCUCCCUUGAAAAAGGGAGAUUUGGGCAAGGAAAUCCCACCAUUGGAACACCCCCUAAACUCUUAGAAACUGAACUUUGUUUGUCUGAGUAAAAAAAUUUAAAUAAAUUAAAACUUUCAACAACGGAUCUCUUGGUUCUGGCAUCGAUGAAGAACGCAGCGAAAUGCGAUAAGUAAUGUGAAUUGCAGAAUUCAGUGAAUCAUCGAAUCUUUGAACGCACAUUGCGCCCUUUGGUAUUCCGAAGGGCAUGCCUGUUCGAGCGUCAUUUCAAACCCUCAAGCUUAUGCUUGGUGUUGGGCUAUCGUCUUGUAAAAGAGACGUGCCUGAAACUCAUUGGCAGUAGCGCCUAACUCUUCAGCGUAGUUAUUUUUAUUUCGCUUUGGUAGUUUUUAGGCAUUACCCCGCCAGAUGAACCCCCCCCAAUUUUUUCUAUGGUUUGACCUCGGAUCAGGUAGGGAUACCCGCUGAACUUAAGCAUAUCAAUAAGCGGAGGAAAAGAAACCAACAGGGAUUGCCUUAGUAACGGCGAGUGAAGCGGCAAUAGCUCAAAUUUGAAAUCUGGCUCUUUUAGAGUCCGAGUUGUAAUUUGUAGAAGAUGCUUCGGCUUACGUACCGGUCUAAGUUCCUUGGAACAGGACGUCACAGAGGGUGAGAAUCCCGUUUGUGGCCGGUACUUCCGCUAUGUGAAGCUCCUUCGACGAGUCGAGUUGUUUGGGAAUGCAGCUCUAAAUGGGAGGUAAAUUUCUUCUAAAGCUAAAUAUUGGCCAGACGAUCCCCGAUAGCGCACAAGUAGAGUGAUCGAAAGAUGAAAAGCACUUUGGAAAGAGACGUUAAAAAGUACGUGAAAUUGUUGAAAGGGAAGCGCUUGCGACCAGACUUGUCUUUAGUUGCUCCGCCGGUCCUUCGACCGGUGUAUUCUUUCUAUUGUCAGGCCAGCAUCAGUUUGGGUGGUUGGAUAAAGGCAUGUGGGAAUGUGACUCUCUUCGGGGUGUUAUAGCCCUUUGUGCAAUACCAGCCUAUUCUAGACUGAGGACCGCGCUCCGGCUAGAUGCCG
rnacentral:rRNA from 1 species